rnacentral:tRNA from 1 species
GGAAGGGUCGCUCAGCGGUAGAGCACCGCGGUGCCACUCCGCGGCGGCAUUUCGCCUCGUGGCGUUCAAAUCCCACCCCUUCCG